ensembl:lncRNA
AUGAGGACAGCUGCUGCCACAGCACAAGCCAUGCCACGAGCUUCGGACACUUUGGAGAUUGGCAUCCUGCACUUACACAGUGGCUACAACAGAGGAUAAAUUGGGAAGGUGGGCUUACAGGGCAAUAAAGACAUAGCUGAACUGGACUACCCUGAAGGCAUCCCUAUUUCCUCUGUGAAGUGCUGUUACAUCUGCACAGCAGGGUGCCCAGACCCCACCAAAGCGUGGUAGCUGAGGUCUGCGUGGAUGCUGCGUGGAUGAAGAUGAAACCAGCAGGGGGGAUCUGGAACAAGACAUCUUUCAGCCUCAGCUCACCCAACAGCACUGAAGACUGAAAUGAAGAAGUUGGUGGAUUCCAGAGUGAAGCAAGAAGAAGGCCGGGAUGCAACAUGAGCAGACGGUCCAACCCAGAAAAGUGCUAACUUUACAGAAUGGGGGACUCCGCGCAUCAGUGGCAGUCUGCGGGCAGUCAGCGUUGGACCCAAGGAGGAGGAGGACUUGAAUGUAAACGCCUGGACGAGAAAGGAAGCACUGCAACAUUCACUGAAUUUCCUGAAGAUCUGUUGGUGGUUUAAAAUCUGCCAUUCCAGGACAUUGGGCCCAGUAUUGACUCUAAAAUAGACCCACUCCCACUGAUGCCUGCUGUGUUCUGCUGGGCUGUGGGAGAGCAGGACCUGCCCCUCAGCCAUUCAGCCUCCCAGGAUCCCUCCUCCAGCUUUAUGCUUGUUGAUUCAUACCAGUGCCUGCGAGGGCAAUCCCGUCAUCCUAUGGAGAACGUAUGAAUGAACUGUACUGCAAAAAAAAAAAGUGAGGCUUUCCUCAACAUACAGAGAAGUUACCAACUGCAGAACUCCUAUCUCCCUCCCACCGCCCCUUCCAGCCUGGGCGCCCUGUGCGAGGGAACUGGUGACUUGGGGAAAAAAAAGCCUGUCAUGAGGAAGGUCACAAACCAACACAGUGGGAUGAACCAAAAGGCUCUGUUUGAACUUGAGACGUUCAGCAAAGGCAGUCUCAGGGAGCUGCUGAGGACGUGGUCUCAUUGAACUUGAAAGAGACACCCGUGGGUUGCUGACCUCUGUCAGUGAUGGUGUUUGCAGAGAUUGCAGCUGCUAUUUAUCUGCCUGCACACAGAUCACUUCACAGUUCUCCCAGACAGUUUUCAACCACGCAUAGUGGGAGCUGUCCUAUUUUCCUUGUUGUUGUCCUCAUCCUGUGUAUGGGAACUGUUGAAUCAUGGCCUGAACCUCUGAUUGACCACCUGAGGCGAGUGCUGAGUCAGCCGCAGGGGCACAGGUGAAGGCAAUUUCACCUGAGUGACCGGAAGGGGUGGAUCCUGGCUGCACCCCUCCUAGGCCCCAUUAAGGGCUGACUCCCAAGGAGGAUGGGUCUCUAUCUGGAGAUCACUCCUCUUGGAGCCCUUCUGUGAGCCCAGGACACAGGUUUCGUGUUUAUAGAACGAAGAAGGACAUCUUGUAAAGGCGCCUUUUCAUGUGCGGAGAGACCAUAAAAAUAUCAAGACCCCAGAAUGUUAAAGAGAAUCAGGAAUGCACAUGGAAAAUGCUACACUAAUCACUGAAUUUCUGCUCCCAAAGACCUCUGUUUACUGAGCUGCAGCCAGCCCUGAUGAGUUUGGAGUAUGCCAGCAAAAGUGUGCAGAUCAGAAAGCUGCUGUGGAGUACAUGUUGUGAAGUGUAUGGGAACUGUUGAAUCACGGCCUGAACCUCUGAUUGACCACCUGAGGUGGGGAAGAGGACAUAACAGAACGAAAGCCAAGAAGAAAAUUGCAGCAAAGGGAUGGAGGAGUGCUGCUUAACCGUCUGUCUCCUGAAGUCUUCAGAUGUUGGCUAAGAUUUCCUCUGCUGGAUAUGUAUGUCAGACUUCUACAAAAUCAACCCCCGCUCAACUACUCUGAGCUGGUAGGCAUCCUAAGUAAUGCUGUUGAAUAAACUGAAGUAAUUUGGGAUACAAUUUGGCAUAAGAGAUCACAAUUACUCUGCUGAGAUUAUUCCAGCAUUACAUCCACUUAUGAAACUACAAAAGAAAUCUGUCCACUGUGUGCCUGCCCAAAGGGAGACCUCUCUGCUGGAUCCCAACAAGAGGAGAUGACAAACAAGACAAGCGCAUUUCGUAGCACCCAUGACUCAGAUGGAGCAGAUCAGCUCUUCGGCUAUUGCUUCAUUAACCAAGGCUUGUUUGCUACAGACAUCACCAUCAAGACCUUCCAGAGAUGCCACUGAAAGGCUUCUCAGUGUUGCAGAAAAAGCCACUGUUGCUUCCAAACUGCUAUAGGAACUGACAGGAGCGUUCCAUAUCCAGGUGCUGACUGACCACUGAAGAGCAGUUUGUAUGAAGAGCCUCAAAGGAGCUUCCAAAAGAAACUCAAAAACCUUGAGCUUGAGCCAUAAACAGAAUCGUGCUGGCUCGGUGUUUCAGCAAGUCCUGGUCUUACCUCGAUUCCUUGACCUGAAUCAUGACACAUGACAGCGAUAGCC